rnacentral:rRNA from 1 species
GAUGAACGCUAGCUACAGGCUUAACACAUGCAAGUCGAGGGGUAACAAAAGAAAAGCUUGCUUUUCUUGUUGACGACCGGCGCACGGGUGAGUAACGCGUAUCCAACCUGCCUAUAACUAGGGAAUAACCUUGCGAAAGUAAGACUAAUGCCCUAUGACUUCCUUUGGCGGCAUCAAAAAAGGACUAAAGAAUUAUCGGUUAUAGAUGGGGAUGCGUCUGAUUAGCUUGUUGGCGGGGUAACGGCCCACCAAGGCAACGAUCAGUAGGGGUUCUGAGAGGAAGGUCCCCCACAUUGGAACUGAGACACGGUCCAAACUCCUACGGGAGGCAGCAGUGAGGAAUAUUGGUCAAUGGGCGGAAGCCUGAACCAGCCAAGUAGCGUGCAGGAUGACGGCCCUAUGGGUUGUAAACUGCAUUUAUACAGGGAUAAAGUUAGCCACGUGUGGUUAUUUGCAGGUACUGUAUGAAUAAGGACCGGCUAAUUCCGUGCCAGCAGCCGCCGUAACAC